GGAAGCUGAAACAAAAACAACCAGUUUGCAGCUGUUGAAAAUGUGUACAGCAUUCAUGAUCUGGUUAAUGAUUUUUUUUUUUUUUUCUGAGAGAACAUAAAUCACCAGGUGCCACUGAGAAAGAGAAAGAGGAAAACACAUCUCCAGUUUUGGCCAGAAAGAAGCAGCAGGGACAGCACUGCAAGAGAUCUUCAAAAGCAUGCAAAGUUUUCAAUGAAUUGAGAAAUGAAGAUAAUGGAGUCACAGAAAUUCCAGAGCAUUGGAAAUCCAGUACCAGUGCUUUAGCCCCACAAGAAACAAAACCCGUGCCUUUGACUUUCCAAGAAGUGCCUCUGAAGCAUCCAG